CUAGUAAUAACCAGUCCAUUUGUUCCCACUUGCCUAUUUCUUUUCCGGUUGGCCACAUUUUGUAAUAACUGUUGAGCUUUUUCUGCUGCUGCCCUUGCCUCUCGAACCUGGCCUGGGCUGAAGUUUUUUCUUUAUUCUCUAAAGCCUUCUUCUUUUCCCUUUGAAGGUAAUAAGGUUUGACAACAAAUUUCUUGACUAAAAAGUAAAGUGAUGUAGGAAUU
rnacentral:misc_RNA from 1 species